rnacentral:rRNA from 1 species
AUCCUGGCUCAGGAUGAACGCUAGCGGCAGGCUUAACACAUGCAAGUCGAGGGGUAGAAGUCUUCGGACUUUGAGACCGGCGCACGGGUGCGUAACGCGUAUGCAAUCUGCCUUUCACAGAGGGAUAGCCCAGAGAAAUUUGGAUUAAUACCUCAUAGUAUAACACAACCGCAUGGUUGAGUUAUUAAAGUCACAACGGUGAAAGAUGAGCAUGCGUCCCAUUAGCUAGUUGGUAAGGUAACGGCUUACCAAGGCAACGAUGGGUAGGGGUCCUGAGAGGGAGAUCCCCCACACUGGUACUGAGACACGGACCAGACUCCUACGGGAGGCAGCAGUGAGGAAUAUUGGACAAUGGGCGCAAGCCUGAUCCAGCCAUGCCGCGUGCAGGAUGACGGUCCUAUGGAUUGUAAACUGCUUUU